rnacentral:rRNA from 1 species
UGGGGAAUAUUGGACAAUGGGCGCAAGCCUGAUCCAGCCAUGCCGCGUGUGUGAAGAAGGCCUUUUGGUUGUAAAGCACUUUAAGCGCGGAGGAGGCUACUUGGAUUAAUACUCUAGGAUAGUGGACGUUACUCGCAGAAUAAGCACCGGCUAACUCUGUGCCAGCAGCCGCGGUAAUACAGAGGGUGCGAGCGUUAAUCGGAUUUACUGGGCGUAAAGCGUGCGUAGGCGGCUUCUUAAGUCGGAUGUGAAAUCCCUGAGCUUAACUUAGGAAUUGCAUUCGAUACUGGGAAGCUAGAGUAUGGGAGAGGAUGGUAGAAUUCCAGGUGUAGCGGUGAAAUGCGUAGAGAUCUGGAGGAAUACCGAUGGCGAAGGCAGCCAUCUGGCCUAAUACUGACGCUGAGGUACGAAAGCAUGGGGAGCAAACAGG